UCUAGAAAGGUACGGACUUGAGGAACAUUUGUUCUGAAUUAAACUUGGCUGCAGUCGGUGUUAUCCUGUGGCUGGAGCUCGGAUUACAGGGGCUGCCCUGGGCCUAUGAAUGGCCGAGUGCGGCUGCUCAGACAGGUGGAAAAUUCUGGGGCCCUGUGCACUGUUUCAGGAAAAAUGCUCCAACUGGCGUGGAGAGGGGCCAGCUGGUGAUGUCAAGGGAUUUAUAACAGAGAUUUCAAGCCCUUUUAAGGAAACGAGGCAGUUGCUAAUGAAACCGGCUAAAGCUGGGUCUGGAGGUGGCGACACUUAAUUUGCUAGUUACCUUGAAAUGCUUGUACUUCUUAAAAAAAACAACGCUGUGCCACUCCCUUUGUGUGUGGUUCAAAAGGCAACAGGAGGGUGUGUUGAGAAGAACCUGUUAUGCUAAUCAGUCUGGGAUUUUGUGACUUCUUCCGUGUGUGCCUCUGAACAGUAUGGAGCGAGCUGGCACACCCUUCGUUCUUCGGUGGUUACACUCAUGGCAGGAUUCCUAGGACUUGUUGCUCUAACCUACAGACGUUACGUCCCUCUCAGCCUCGGUUUCCUCAUCUGUGAAAUGGCCACACUGACGGUACCUACCUCAUACGGUCAGUGACACAACACACAGGAAGUACUCGGCGUAGUGAAGCAGAUUUGAAAAUGCUGUGGGUGGAACUCAAUUAUCAAUUAUAUUUAAAGGUGCAAAAACAAGAUUGGAAUCACUGCUGUAGAAAAGGAAAUUACUUUCGAUGCCCAUUGUGUCUGGAAGAAGAAGGGAGUUCCUGUCCCCACAUGGCUGUGACGUUACAGGAGGGGAAGCCAAGCGGACAACAGGCCGCUCCUUUGGGGAACGUCAUCUAACAGAGGUGGAAUGAAUAUAGCUAAGCGACAACAUGCACCUAAAUAAAACAUGGACCCAGAAUUUGAUAUUUGCAACAAGAAGCCUGUCCUGGUGUUCCAGGCCAUGAAGGAAACACUUCUGGACAGAAUUGGAUUCAAAUUCUGGGCCUUUUCCUUUCUAACUGUGUGACCUUGGGCACGUUAUGUAAUGCUGCUGGGCUCAGUUCUUCAAAAAAUGGGGGGCCGGCCAAGUGGCGCGAUGGUUAAGAACUGGCUUGGGACGCCAGAGGGCCCCGGUUCGGAUCCCAC